rnacentral:ncRNA from 1 species
CCUAAGAGUUCCUCAACAAGGUUCGUCCACGGAGGGUUAAUCAGGGCCUAAGAUCAAGCCAAAAGGCGUAGUCGAUGGACAACAGGUGAAUAUUCCUUUGCUACCCCUUGUUGGUCCUGAGAGACGGAGGAGGCUAGGUUAGCCGAAAGAGUAGACCUCACCUACCUUUUGAUGGAUAGAGAAAUUGUUUAUGUGCAACCAAAUCAAGAUAGAAAGG